GUGAGGUAAUGGCUCACCAAGGCUUCGACGGGUAGCUAGUCUGAGAGGACGAUUAGCCACACUGGGACUGAGACACGGCCCAGACUCCUACGGGAGGCAGCAGUAGGGAAUCUUGCGCAAUGGGCGAAAGCCUGACGCAGCAACGCCGCGUGGGGGAUGAAGGCUUUCGGGUUGUAAACCCCUUUCAGCAGGGACGAUUAUGACGGUACCUGCAGAAGAAGGACCGGCCAACUACGUGCCAGCAGCCGCGGUAAUACGUAGGGUCCGAGCGUUGUCCGGAUUUAUUGGGCGUAAAGAGCUCGUAGGUGGCUUCGUAAGUCGGGUGUGAAAACCCCAGGCUCAACCUGGGGACGCCACUCGAUACUGCGGUGGCUUGAGUCUGGUAGGGGAUCACGGAAUUCCUGGUGUAGCGGUGAAAUGCGCAGAUAUCAGGAGGAACACCAGUGGCGAAGGCGGUGAUCUGGGCCAGUACUGACACUGAGGAGCGAAAGCGUGGGGAGCGAACAGGAUUAGAUACCCUGGUAGUCCACGCCGUAAACGUUGGGCACUAGGUGUGGGGACCUAUCGACGGUUUCCGUGCCGCAGCUAACGCAUUAAGUG
rnacentral:rRNA from 1 species